rnacentral:rRNA from 1 species
AGCCUAUCUCAGUUCGGAUUGGAGGCUGAAACCCGACCUCCAUGAAGUUGGAUUCGCUAGUAAUCGCGCAUCAGCCAUGGCGCGGUGAAUACGUUCCCGGGCCUUGUACACACCGCCCGUCAAGCCAUGGGAGCCGGGGGUGCCUGAAGUUCGUUACCGUAAGGAUCGACCUAGGGCAAAACUGGUGACUGGGGCUAAGUCGUAACAAGGUAAC